GCUGCCUUUGGCAGCACACAUACUAAAAGUGGAACGAUACAGAGAAGAUUAGCAUGGCCCCUGUGCAAGGAUGACAUGCAAAUUCAUGAAGUGUUCCGUGUUUUU